AUGCAAGACCAACAGCCUCACCGUCGUUCGCCUACACGCUCGAGCCCCAAAGAUCCCGUGGAACGCCAAGUACCGCACCGAACGCCAAGUACAACUACAAACCCGAAGAACCCAGAUGCUUCAAGUCUCCGGCGAGACCCGUUUUUCGACCAGUUCGACUACGCGGCUAUGAUCUCAGAUUUGGACCUGUGUUGCACCAAGUACCUCCACGAUGACCCGAACAUCUACAUAAAAACGUGUACCACUACUGUCGAGGACCGACGGUACCACUACUUCCACUACCAUCGUGAGAACGUCUACUUCCACUACUUCCACUACGAACGCGAUCCGCUUUGA
rnacentral:rRNA from 1 species